rnacentral:lncRNA from 1 species
UUAUUUAACAUGUGUAGGGUGUCAUAGUUCAUCUCUUCUCUGCUCUCCAUGCCAUGGUAGUCCCCAUCAUUCCUGUCUUCACUGAUAUUCAUAUUAGCCUAUGAUCCUGCUUGAGAUAUGACGUCAUAUUCAUCGUUUUCUCUAUCAGAAUGGACGUUCCGAUCUAGCUAAGCAAUUCCAUUACACAUAUUAGAAUGAAAACCGGCAAUCAUAUCUGUUGACUCGGAUAACAACUGACACACUGUUUUUGUUUUUAAAGAUAUAAAAUAAGUAUCAAUUAGCCGGUAAAUCACUUUCUAAAGGCUAUUUCUAAAAGUUUUAAAACAAAAUCCGCUUAGGUCGAAAUUCCUUCCCACAUUUAAUAGAAAUAAGUAGAUGUAGUAUGAGUGAAAGUGAUACAACUCUCCACUCCAGUCACAAUUUGUUAAGGUAAACCAUUAUAAUAAUUUAUGUUGUUUCGGGUCCUCAGUGAAUAUUUUAAAGUAGAAAAAUCCGAUGCAAC